ensembl:misc_RNA Metazoa_SRP Metazoan signal recognition particle RNA
GCCGGGCGCGGUGGCGGGCGCCUGUAGUCCCAGCUACUCGGGAGGCUGAGGCUGGAGGAUCGCUUGAGCUCAGGAGUUCUGGGCUGCAGUGCGCUAUGCCGAUCGGGUGUCCGCACUAAGUUCGGCAUCAAUAUGGUGACCUCCCGGGAGCGGGGGACCACCAGGUUGCCUAAGGAGGGGUGAACCGGCCCAGGUCGGAAACGCAGCAGGUCAAAACUCCCGUGCUGAUCAGUAGUGGGAUCGCGCCUGUGAAUAGCCACUGUACUCCAGCCUGGGCAACAUAGCGAGACCCCGUCUCUU